rnacentral:rRNA from 1 species
UGCGUAGACGGCUAUCUAAGUCGGGUGUGAAAGCCCCGGGCUCAACCUGGGAAUUGCAUUCGAGACUGAAUAGCUAGGGUGCGGUAGAGGGAAGCGGAAUUUCCGGUGUAGCGGUGAAAUGCGUAGAUAUCGGAAGGAACAUCAGUGGCGAAAGCGGCUUCCUGGACCAGCACCGACGUUCAGGCACGAAAGCGUGGGGAGCAAACA